GAUGAACGCUAGCUACAGGCUUAACACAUGCAAGUCGAGGGGCAGCAUUUCAGUUUGCUUGCAAACUGGAGAUGGCGACCGGCGCACGGGUGAGUAACACGUAUCCAACCUGCCGAUAACUCGGGGAUAGCCUUUCGAAAGAAAGAUUAAUACCCGAUGGUAUAAUUAGACCGCAUGGUCUUGUUAUUAAAGAAUUUCGGUUAUCGAUGGGGAUGCGUUCCAUUAGGCAGUUGGUGAGGUAACGGCUCACCAAACCUUCGAUGGAUAGGGGUUCUGAGAGGAAGGUCCCCCACAUUGGAACUGAGACACGGUCCAAACUCCUACGGGAGGCAGCAGUGAGGAAUAUUGGUCAAUGGACGCGAGUCUGAACCAGCCAAGUAGCGUGAAGGAUGACUGCCCUAUGGGUUGUAAACUUCUUUUAUAUGGGAAUAAAGUGGUCCACGUGUGGACUUUUGUAUGUACCAUAUGAAUAAGGAUCGGCUAACUCCGUGCCAGCAGCCGCGGUAAUACGGAGGAUCCGAGCGUUAUCCGGAUUUAUUGGGUUUAAAGGGAGCGUAGGCGGAUUGUUAAGUCAGUUGUGAAAGUUUGCGGCUCAACCGUAAAAUUGCAGUUGAUACUGGCAGUCUUGAGUGCAGUAGAGGUGGGCGGAAUUCGUGGUGUAGCGGUGAAAUGCUUAGAUAUCACGAAGAACUCCGAUUGCGAAGGCAGCUCACUG
rnacentral:rRNA from 1 species